GCUCUUUUGGUGCUAUUCGUGCUGAUUGACCAGAGAAGAAAACGCUGCUGCUACAUCGAAGGAGAGGUUGGAGGUCGCUACCAGAGGAAUCUUGGCCAUUAAUCGCCGUCCGGUUACUCGGAGUGAUUUUGAAAAGGGUGCUGUCGGUGCAUUGGAUGGUACACUCAUACCCGCAAUCAUCGCACCAGAUGAGUCAAUGCCUUAUAGAGCUAGAGGCGGGAAGCAAUGUUACUAAAAUGUUCUAGCCAUUUGUGACUUUAAUAUGAUAUUUACAUAUGUUGUAGCUGGUAGGGAGGGGGUUGCGCUGAUGCAAGGAUUUUAAGGACCGUUGUCAUUGAGCCCAAUCACCACUUUCUGUUCCUGCCUCCGGAUAAGUACUACUUGUGUGACCAGGCAUUUCCACACACACGUUAUUUCAUGGCUCCAUACUGCGGACAAAGAUAUUGGAUAUUAGAUUUCCGCCGUAAACGACCAAGAACUAGGGAGGAGAGGUUUAACCAAGCCCAUGCAAAAUUACGGAAUAUAAUCGAAUAUGCUUUUGGGGUCUCAAAAGCACGAUUUCAAAUUCUAAAGUUAAUGGCACCGUUCCCCUUUCUAGUUCAAUGAGAUGUGGUUAUUGCAUGUUUUGCCCUCCAUAACUAUUUAAGGAGGGAGAGUAUCGGGGAUGGACUGUUCACAAAA